rnacentral:rRNA from 1 species
UACGGAGGGUGCGAGCGUUGUCCGGAAUCACUGGGCGUAAAGGGCGCGUAGGCGGCAGGCCAAGCGUGCGGUGAAAGUCCGGGGCUCAACCCCGGAUCUGCCGUGCGGACUGGUUUGCUAGAGCACUGUAGAGGCGAGUGGAAUUCCGGGUGUAGCGGUGGAAUGCGUAGAGAUCCGGAAGAACACCGGUGGCGAAGGCGGCCUGCUGGGCAGUGGCUGACGCUGAGGCGCGACAGCGUGGGGAGCAAACAGG